AACAGCAGCCACACCCACCACAGCAGCGGCAACCUAUCAAAUAACAGCUUCAGUGAAACUACAACAGUGAAUAGAGCCUGAAGACAGAAAAGGUAGGUUUAACUGAGAAUCUGCUUCUAUAAUAACAAAGUCACCAUUAAUAUCUCAUCCGAAAGAAAAAAGUAUUAGUCUUAUGCAAUUUUUUCAUAUACAUUCUGUUUAUGUGCUCCACUUACUAUAACGCACUGUUUUCUCUGUCUUUUUCAACUUUAUUUACAAGCCUAUACAACUGAAGUCUCAAGAGCUCCCCUGAAUACAUUGAUUUGCCUAUUCCUUGAUUACAGGGGUUGCCAUGGCGGAAUGGACCACCAACUGUACCAGCAUAUGUUUGUGUGAUGAAUGCCCAGUAAUAAAAUUCUCAUAUACUGUGACAAUUUGGUUUGUGUAAUUGUAUUGUUUACAAAAAAAUAUAUAUUUUUAGAUAAUUUUAUAUGUGUAAUUGUAUUUUUUGUAUCUGUUAUGAACCUAGGGUCUGAAAGUAACGCAAUUUUAACUCUCUGUGUGUCCUGUAUAUGUGGUUGGAUUGACAAUAAAGCUGACUUUGACUUUGAUUUAGACUUUAUUCAAUUCACCUACAGUAAAUCUCAUGUCUUUGCACUGAGAGGGAAACUGAAGCACCUGGAGAUAACCCACGUCAACACGGGGAGAACAUGCAAACUCCACACAGAAACGCCAACUAAUCCAGCCGGGACUCAAACUAGCAACUUCCUUGCAUUGAAGAAACAGUGCUAACCACUGAGCUGCCGUGCGGCCCUAUCCUUGAUUAAUCUAGGAAAAAGGGGGAGGAGUAAGGGUGGAUGAGGGGGAUGCUUCAAGACGAAGAUGACUAAGCUCUUCUAGAUAUGAUGUCAUAAACCACUAUAGCUACAGCAGCCACACCCACCACAGCAGAGAGGACCAAUUGAAUCACAGCUUCAGUGAAACCACAACACAGAAUCGAGUCUGAAGACAGAAAAGCUCUUUUGGAUAUGAUGUCAUAAACCACUAUGGCAACAGCAGCCACGCCCACCACAGCAGAGAGGACCAAUCGAAUCACAGCUUCAGUGAAACCACAACAGUGAAUCGAGUCUGAAGACAGAAAAGGUCUUCUGGAUAUGAUGUCAUAAACCACUAUGCAGUUGCCACAACCCCCAACAGCAGAGGGGACCAAUCGAAUCACAGCUUCAGUGAAACCAUAACAGUGACAGAACAGAGUCAGAAGACAAAAAAAGAGAGACUCACAGCACUCACAUUCAACACUGAACACAACACCGAACAACUGGAUGAUGAAGAGUCACAAGAGUCUCCGGUGAUGACUGGAUUGGGCAGACGAGCUGGAAAACAUCAAAGAAUAAUAAUAAUUACACGCCUGGCCAUCAGAUGGCGCAGAAGGGUCACGAUUAAAAGCAGUAAAAAAAAAAGAAACGGGCGUACAACACCACACUGCACAGAUCGCUGGAAGGACCAUGCAGGAGUGAUUUGUUUACCAGUCUAUGUCGGAAUUCCUCACAUUUUUAAAAUGUCCUUUGCAAUAUGAGCAAACAAUUUUAACCCCAUGUAUUUUUUGCUGAGCUUCUUGAAAAUGAAACUGAAACACUUUUUAAAGAGAGUGUGAUGGUUCAAUCAGCAGAUAAUAGCACAGUUUUGUUUUAUGUAUUGUAACACACACAACAUUAUGACUGAAAGUUCAAAAAAGGACAAAAUGUUGGUGUCCAUCUCACUGGCGCAUCUGUGACCAAGACAGCAAGUCUUUAUGAUGUUCAAGAGCCAUGGUGUCUAGGGUAUUUUCAGCAUACACCAAGAGGGUUGAACUCCAUCCAACAGGAGUAACUGUGGAUGCAAGAGGAAGCUGCCUGAAAGGGAUGUCUGGGAGCUGGAUUGUAUACACACACACACAAAAAAAAAAAAAAAAAAAAACACAACUGCCUGCUCAAUGAAGAAUUAAAUGUGCACUUCAACUCUCCUGUUUCCACCAAAACUGUUCAUCGGGAGCUCCACAGAUCAAUAUUCAUAGCCGGGAUGCUAUAGCCAAACCUGUGGUCACUCGUGCCAAUGCCAAACAUCAGUUUCAGUGAUGCAAGCAGCAAAAAUCCUGUCCUAUGGACAAUUUGAAACAUGUAUUGUUCUCUGAUGAGUCCACUUUCACUGUCUUUCCUACAUCUGGGAGAGUUAUGGUGUGGAGAAGCCCUAAAGAAGCGUACCACCCUGACUGUUGAUGCCCUGAGUGAAACAUGCGGGUGGAUGAGUGAUG